UGAAAGUUGAUCAAACUUGGCCAUUUAGAGGAAGUAAUAGUCGUAACAAGGUUUCCGUAGGUGAACCUGCGGAAGGAUCAUUA
rnacentral:rRNA from 1 species